CGCGUAGGCGGUCUCUAAAGUCAGAUGUGAAAGCCCGGGGCUUAACCCCGGAAGUGCAUUUGAAACUCAGGGACUUGAGUAUGGGAGAGGGAAGUGGAAUUCCUGGUGUAGCGGUGAAAUGCGUAGAUAUCAGGAGGAACACCAGUGGCGAAGGCGACUUCCUGGACCAAUACUGACGCUGAGGCGCGAAGGCGUGGGUAGCAAACAGGAUUAGAUACCCUGGUAGUCC
rnacentral:rRNA from 1 species